GGGGAUAUAGUUGAAAUUGGUAUAAUAUGGGUGUUGCAUACCCGGGUUAUGGGUUCGAGGCCCAUUGUCUCCA
rfam:Dictyostelium discoideum mitochondrial DNA, complete genome.